rnacentral:sRNA from 1 species
GCCAGGUGUAGUGGUGCACACCUGUAAUCCCUGCAACUCAGGAGGCUGAGGCAGGAGGAUCGAAAGUUUGAAGCCAGCCUGGGAAAUCGCAGUAUCCCUGUCACUC